GCUAGUUGCACGAGUUCAGACUCGUAGCAGAUAGCUCAGUAACACGUGGCCAAACUACCCUAUGGAUCCGGACAACCUCGGGAAACUGAGGCUAAUCCGGAAUACGACUCUCAGGCUGGAAUUGCCGGGAUUCCAAAACGUUCCGGCGCCUUAGGAUGUGGUUGCGGCCAAUUAGGUAAACGGGGGGGUAACGGCCCACCGGGCCGAUAAUCGGUACGGGUUGUGAAAGCAAAAGCCCGGAAACGGUAUCUGAAACAAGAUACCGGGCCCUACGGGGCGCACCAGGCGCGAAACCUUUACACUGCACGCAAGUGCGAUAAGGGGACUCCAAGUGCGAGGGCAUAUAGUCCUCGCUUUUCACAACCGUAAGGAGGUGGUAGAAUAAGUGCUGGGCAAGACCGGUGCCAGCCGCCGCGGUAAUACCGGCAGCACAAGUGAUGACCGCUAUUAUUGGGCCUAAAGCGUCCGUAGCUGGCCACGCAAGUCUAUCGGGAAAUCCGCCCGCCUAACGAGCGGGCGUCCGGUGGAACCUGCUUGGCUUGGGACCGGAAGACCUAAAGGGUACGUCUGGGGUAGGAGUGAAAUCCUGUAAUCCUGGACGGACCACCGGUGGCGAAAGCGCUCUGGAAGACGGAUCCGACGUUGAGGGACGAAGCUCG
rnacentral:rRNA from 1 species